rnacentral:rRNA from 1 species
AUGAAAAAGGAGGUACUGACUCUCAAACAAAAUGACUCGCCUGGUGAGAUUUACUGGAAAUUUGAUAACUCUGGUGUAUAUACAACCAAAUCGAUGUAUAGAUGGUUAGAAAAAGAUAUUGCUGGAUCUAGUUUCAAAUGGAUUUGGGAAGCUAAGCUCCCCUUGAAAAUACAAAUAUUCUUAUGGCAGGUGGGGCAAAAUGCCAUUUUGACUAGAGAUAAUAUGAAAAAAAGAUCUUGGCCUGGAAAUCCCUGUUGCUCCUUUUGCAAUCAAUUGUAA